GGGGAGCAAACAGGAUUAGAUACCUUGGUAGUCACGCCGUAAACGAUGUCUACUUGGAGGUGUGGCCUUGAGCCGUGGCUUUCGGAGCUAACGCGUUAAGUAGACCGCUGGGGAGUACGGUCGCAAGAUUAAAACUCAAAUGAAUUGACGGGGGCCCGCACAAGCGGUGGAGCAUGUGGUUUAAUUCGAUGCAACGCGAAGAACCUUACCUACUCUUGACAUCCAGAGAACUUUCCAGAGAUGGAUUGGUGCCUUCGGGAACUCUGAGACAGGUGCUGCAUGGCUGUCGUCAGCUCGUGUUGUGAAAUGUUGGGUUAAGUCCCGCAACGAGCGCAACCCUUAUCCUUGUUUGCCAGCGAGUAAUGUCGGGAACUCCAGGGAGACUGCCGGUGAUAAACCGGAGGAAGGUGGGGAMGACGUCAAGUCAUCAUGGCCCUUACGAGUAGGGCUACACACGUGCUACAAUGGCGCAUACAGAGGGCGGCCAACUUGCGAAAGUGAGCGAAUCCCAAAAAGUGCGUCGUAGUCCGGAUUGGAGUCUGCAACUCGACUCCAUGAAGUCGGAAUCGCUAGUAAUCGUGGAUCAGAAUGCCACGGUGAAUACGUUCCCGGGCCUUGUACACACCGCCCGUCACACCAUGGGAG
rnacentral:rRNA from 1 species